UACAGAGGGUGCAAGCGUUGUUCGGAAUUACUGGGCGUAAAGCGCGUGUAGGCGGUCUGGUAAGUUGGGUGUGAGAUCCCUCGGCUCAACCGAGGAACUGCAUCCAAAACUACUAGACUUGAGUAUCGGAGGGGGUGGCGGAAUUCCCGGUGUAGAGGUGAAAUUCGUAGAUAUCGGGAGGAACACCUGUGGCGAAGGCGGCCACCUGGAAGAUUACUGACGCUGAGACGCGAAAGCGUGGGGGGCAAACAGG
rnacentral:rRNA from 1 species